GACAGAGUCCUGUGGCCACCCUGACCUGCGAGGGAUGCUGGGAGGUGUCCUCGAGCUGAGUGUAUGGGAUAUUUGUCUGUCUAUAAUGGCAUGCCACAGUCGUCAAGACGAUGCUAAAAGUUACCCAGUGGAAGCUGUUGGAACGAACACCUCCAGCCAGAGAUCCUCCCUUCUAAGGUGGAGAUCAAACCCAGGGCCUCAGGCAUGGUUUCUACUGAAGGAAAAGUUAAAAUGGCCGAACUUGAGAACGGGAUGGAACCUUGAGGGCAGAGCCAUCUACUCCAGUGGUCCUCUUCUUGGCUGUGAGGUAAGAGGGAGAGCAAGGAUAAGUAAAUAACAGAAAACUGUAGGGCAAGAGUUGAGAAACCACACAAGCAAGGAUGACUAUGUCAAAACAUUGUGAAACCAACAGAAAAAGUGACCCUUUCCCUAUGAUCUCCAGGAAUGCACAAAACCAAAAAUACAUGACCCUGGACUGUGUCCAACAUCUUUCUGAUUGAAGAUUUUAUCUCUACAUCAGGGCCUUUGGACACCUUGAUACUUUCUCUAAAAACCUUGUGUGGUCAACAAAAACUCCCCUUCCCAAUGGGUGGGCUGAGUCAAGUACCCUGUUGGUCCAUGACAGCUGUCAAUCCCCAUGUGGAUCCUCCCAUAAUCCCAGGAAUUUAAGAAACCCAGUGCCUGCCCGUCCUGGGGCCUGAGCUCUUUGC